UAUUAUAUUAAUGUAAAGAUUAGUGUAUAAUUAUGUUUGUAAUUAUAUUUUUCUAUAAAUAAAUAUCUUUGUGGAUUAGAAAAUAAUAAAUAUCUUUAUUGAAUGUGUUUGCAAGAAAAUUACUGGCAGCUUGUUCCAAGUGAAGGUCAGGAGGGAGACUUGGCCCAACCUACCAAUUUAUGGUACAGAUGCACGCCCCCAACACCCCCGGGCUUGCAAUUAAUGCUUUAGCCUCAUCCAGUGGUCUGGUGGAUUUGUAGAAUCUUUGAAAAAAUGAAAGAUACUAAUCUUAUCCUAAAGGAGUAAGUUAAAAUAAUAGUUAAUUUAGAGGCGUGUCUUGUGGGUUGAAACUUGAAAGUAUGUAAAUUGACUUGUGAUUGUGCCAAUCAAUUAAGAUUGAAAAACAUUAAUGCUGUGAGUAACCAUCCCCGCGCAACCAUCGCGCACCAAUCUGACGUGGCAAGUCAAAAGUCAGUCUUGACUUUAAUAAGCGGUAAGCGAAAAUUUUGAAUUCAUUAAAUCAAAACUAUGCGUUUAAUAAAGAAGCAGAUAUGCGUUCCCCUUCUCUCCUCCCUUCCCCUUCCUCUCCCCCUCCCGAACCCUACCCUUUCUCUCCUCCCUUCCCCUUCCUCUCCCCCUCCCGAACCCUUCCCUUUCUCCUUCUCGUUCUCCUCCCUUCUCCUUCCCCUUCCCCUUCCCCUUCCCUUUCAUAUAUUUUGUUUAGAUUUUUCUUCUUCUUCAUCCAUUCCGCACCAUUCUCCCAAAUCCCUCCGUCUUCAACCUAGCCCCUCUCUCUCUCACUCUCUCGACCUCUCUCUCACCACCGUGGGUCUCUAUUUCUCUCGCUCUCUCUCUCUCUCUCUCUCUCACAGACGGUGGCGUGGGUCUCUCUCUCUCUCACUCUCACUAUCUCUCUUCGGCCACAGCUCCAAGAUCAACUUCGGCGUGGGUCUCGACUCUCCAAGACGGAGGUAUGUUCCUUUUCAUAAAACCCUUCAGAUCAACUCAUAAUUUAUUCACAAGGCCAUACCUGUGCAUCAUGAUUCAUAACCCCAAUACAGACCUACACAGAAAUUAAUAAUAUCAUUUGCUAGCAAAUAACCUUCUGUUGUGUGUAUUUUUAUAUUCGGAUUUGUUGGGCUGUAAUUGCGCUGGUGAUAAGAAAAUCUUAAUCAUUUUCUAGUUUUCUUUGAUAAUGUUUCCUAAAAAUGGAAAAUCUGUAACUGAGGAGCUCAAGUUUUAUCGAUUUUCCUCUUCAGCCUUUCUAUUAUGCCCUGAGAUAUUAUUAUUAGUAUAAGAAUUGGUUAAAAAGGAUGUUGGGUUUUUUCUUUUUGGAUGGUUGCUGAAUUUUCGCCAUUAUUGGUUAAGAUUAAUGUGAAGUGUUUUUGGAAAGUAUCGUCCUUUUUGGAGGGUUGCUGAAUUUUUCCCCAUUGCUUUGUUUUAUACAUUCUUUUGGUUAAUGGCUGGAAUAUUCCUGGCAGAGGGAAUAAUUUAAGGCCAAUUUGCAGUAUUAAAUUUAGAGACCUAAAUGGAUGUGGGGGGUUUUUUUUCUUAUAGGAUGUAAUUGCACAAAGAUUUGGGUGAAUGAUUUCUUGAAUUGAAGGGUUCUUGCUGCUUACUUCAUACUCUACAACUCAUACUUCUUUUGGAGGACAGAUGCAUUGGAUUGGGUUUAAGUAAAUAUCCUAGGGUACUUAUUUCUGCCAUGAACAGCGAGCUACCCACUUCUCCAUUUUGUCUUUAAGAAUGAAAAUGAUAGCAUGAUUCAUUUCAGGAAUGGUAUAAGUUAUAUCUUUAGAAUCUGAAUGGUAUAAGUUAGGAUUAGAAAAUAAAUGCAUUACAGGAAUUCUUAAUAAUUAAUUACUCCUAUUAAUUGCUUUACCUUAAUGUUCUGUUCUGUACUUAUUAAUUAAAUUGGUAUCAAAACCAAAUUAAUAAGAUACAAUUAAUGUAAUCAUCAUUAUGAGAUUUGGGUUAUCAAUUUGAAUUCAUAGCAUAACAAGAUUUGAUUUUGGUCAAUCCACAUCAAACAUAACAGGUUUCUGUUGUGAUAGAGAAUUUGAUCCCCAAUCAAGCUUUAUUUAUGUUGAUGAUGAGUGACUUAAGGCUUAUGGUCUACACAUUCUAUAUUGUUUAUUGUUUAUGUUAUGGAUGGCCUAUGGGAUGUAAUGUAGUGGAUAGAUGAAUGGAUUUGUGAGAAAGGCUGGAUGGUAUAUUCAUGUUUAUUUUUAGUUCAUGAAUUUGUUUAAAAGGGCUGUAUUAUUUUCUAUGGAUCAUAAUAUAUGUAGUCAUUAUAUUCAUGUUUAUUUUUUAUUGUUUAUGUUAUGGAUGGCUAUGGAAUGUAAGAUGGCCUGGGAUGUAAUGUUUACUGACAAAGGGGCUGGAAACGGGUUUCGAAAAAAAAAAAAAAAAACCGCAGAUUUUACCCGACCUUAACAAGACCAGACCAGAGAAGUGUGAUAAUUUGUCACACUUCCUACAUUGAGAUUUUUUCAGUAUGUUUUUUGCUCAUAUUUUUGCUGCCCAUUAAGCUGCAACUUAUAACUGUAUAUAUACUCACUUACAUGAACGUAGAUAAUUUUUGUUGAUCUCUCAUGAAUGCUUUUCUCCAUCAAAUCAGCUCCCAGCUGCAGCUAGUUAUAAUGGUAAGAAAAUAAACUGACCCAAGUAAUCAAGUCAGCUCUUUUAUUAUUGCUCAUUUUAGUUGAUAGGAUGUCAACAGCAAAUUCUUCAUCUUCUCUUGGUAACCGUACUUUGGUGAACAACCCAAUAUGCACUUGUGGCCAACCCGCUUCACUUAGAACUUCAACUACGAUGACAAAUCCGGGACGAUCAUUCUUUGGGUGUCCAAAGUAUAAUAAACAGGGAUUACCACAUUGCAACUACUUCAAAUGGGCAGAUAUCAGUGAGGAAAUUGAAAUAGAACGUAUGAAGAUCGAAAUUCUGAGGUUAAGAAAUGAGCAAGAGCUUCGAAGAAGAGAGGAAGAGAUUUUGAAGAGGGAGUUGGAAGUCCACAAUGAUCGACUGGAUAUUCAAAAGCAACGAGCAGACAUCCGACAUGAACGCACACUUCUUCGUAGCUAUUGUGUGAUUUUAAUUUUAAUUGUAAUGUACUUCGUACGACCAUAGUGAAUACUGGUCUGAUAAUGGGUGAUUGAUAUACAUAUUAAUGUAGUUGGACAAAAGCUCAUCACAUGUAUAUAUUAGAUCCAUGUGUAUGUAGUCACCAUAGUGACCUUAGUAUGUUGUAACCUUCUGAAUGUAGCUGGGAACUGGAUUAUCUACCUGGAGUUACAGAUUAGCUGUCCAGAUUUGUAUGUAUUGUGGAUUAUUUAUAUAUAGCAGGUGUAACUGCAACGUUGGAAGAA